CCGUUGGGGAGCGACCGUUAGGGGGCGGCCGUUGGAGGGCGGCCGUUGGGGGGCGGCCAUUUGGGGGCGGCUAUGAGGGGGCGGCCCCGGGCUCUGCGCCCCCUCAGGAGCGGUGGUGGGGCGGCCGGGGGAGGAAGAGGAGGGAGGCGGCAGCCCCAUGGUGGAGGGGGUGGUUUUCGAGGCGCAGGAGCAGCGAGGGUUCGCUCCGAGCCCCCCUUGUGAGGGCACUCCCGUGUCCCGAAUGCGGUGUGUGAUCGGCAGGUCGGGAUUGCAAGGAUGUUGAUUUGAAAGCAUGUCAGGAAGGUUUGGAUAACUCUUGUCCACACCAAGAAAAUAAUCAGUUGAAACUGGAAGAGGAGGAGGAGGAAGAAGACAUAAAUCAAGUAAAUGAUGAAAAAAAUGAAAGAAGGGAAAACUCUAAAGUGGAAGUGAGGGAGAAUGUAGAUUUUAUCAGUGAAGUAAAAGUAGUGCAAGAAACUGAGUAAAUGGUUUGAAAGGAAUAUUUGAUUUCCUCAUUUAGGAUUUGGAGGUGUCCUUUGCAAGGACAGGAAGGGAAGACUGACCUAGGACUAUGUUUUGUAAAAGAUGACCUUGUUCGCCGCCCUGAAAAUCCCCCUGUUCCAGUACAGUUUAUAUAGAUGAAAUAUUCUAAAGGUUACAGAAAUUACUUGUAACUAACUAAUUACUCAAUUAUUAUUUUUUUCCAUCAUGAAGGUGCUGUGUUUGAGUAAGGGUUGUUUUUUUUAAUAUGCAAACGCUUGAGACAUGAAUGCUAAAUUACACUGCUUUCACCAUUUAUGUGAAGCUUUAUGCUUGGUUACAGAAUGACAUUUGGGAGACUUGAUUGUUUGGAUCUGAAGGUAUGUAUUGUAACCAGAAGUUAGAAAAAGAAUCUCAUGGUGUUAAACCAAAA